CCUACGGGAGGCAGCAGUGAGGAAUAUUGGUCAAUGGACGAGAGUCUGAACCAGCCAAGUAGCGUGAAGGAUGACUGCCCUAUGGGUUGUAAACUUCUUUUAUAUGGGAAUAAAAUGUUCCACGUGUGGGAUUUUGUAUGUACCAUAUGAAUAAGGAUCGGCUAACUCCGUGCCAGCAGCCGCGGUAAUACGGAGGAUCCGAGCGUUAUCCGGAUUUAUUGGGUUUAAAGGGAGCGUAGGUGGAUUGUUAAGUCAGUUGUGAAAGUUUGCGGCUCAACCGUAAAAUUGCAGUUGAAACUGGCAGUCUUGAGUAGAGGAGAGGUGUGCGGAAUGCGUGGUGUAGCGGUGAAAUGCUUAGAUAUCACGAAGAACUCCGAUUGCGAAGGCAGUUCACUGGACUGCAACUGACACUGAGGCUCGAAAGUGUGGGUAUCAAACAGGAUUAGAUACCCUUGUAGUC
rnacentral:rRNA from 1 species